rnacentral:rRNA from 1 species
CAUGCAAGUCGAACGGAGUUUUUUAACGGAAGUCUUCGGACGGAAGGUAAAAGACUUAGUGGCGGACGGGUGAGUAACACGUGAGUAAUCUGCCUUACAGAGGGGGAUAACGUUCUGAAAAGAACGCUAAUACCGCAUAAGCCAACGAAAUCGCAUGGUUUAGUUGGAAAAGGAGCAAUCCGCUGUAAGAUGAGCUCGCGUCCGAUUAGCUAGUUGGUAAGGUAACGGCUUACCAAGGCGACGAUCAGUAGACGACCUGAGAGGGUGAUCGGCCACAUUGGAACUGAGACACGGUCCAAACUCCUACGGGAGGCAGCAGUGGGGAAUAUUGCACAAUGGGCGAAAGCCUGAUGCAGCAACGCCGCGUGAGCGAUGAAGGCCUUCGGGUCGUAAAGCUCUGUCCUCAAGGAAGAUAAUGACGGUACUUGAGGAGGAAGCCCCGGCUAACUACGUGCCAGCAGCCGCGGUAAAAC